GAAGAUGUAGCUCAGUGGUAGAGUGCUUGCCUCACAUGGGCAAGGUCUUGGAUUCAAUGCCCUGGGUUCAAUCCCCAGCACUGCA
rnacentral:tRNA from 1 species